UGCGGUCUUGCAUGAAUGAUGUAACGAUACAACAGCUGUCUCUAUGAUUGACUCAGUGAAAUUGGAAUAGCUGUGCAGAUACAGUUUACCUCUAGUUAGACGAGAAGACCCUAUGCAGCUUUACUGUUACUAAUUAUAGGGUAUGGUGGAGCAAUUAUCAGAUUAUAAGGUACAUUGGUUAAUAAAAAUGAAAAUCCUUUAUUUUCACACCAUACUUCAGAAUUAAUUCUUUUGGAACUUCAUUUGGUCCAAGGCCUCUGGCCUUAGCGACCUAGAUGGAGGAAAGGGGAAUUAACCUAGUCUGAUUAAAGCCUAAUGGUUAAGGAACUUAUUGUUAGGAGACAGUUUAUGUGGGGCACAGGCCCCUUAAAGAGUAAAAGGGAGUGUCUAAAAAUUAUUUGUUAUAAAUAUUAUAACGUUGUUUGUGGUUUUAUGUAGUUUUACUAUAUUUGAUCUUAUAAAAUUCUCUUUAUCUACCCUGGCUGUAGAUAGGGAUGAAUAUUAGGUACGAUUUUCACUAUAGUGAAAGUAGCGGUAUAAAAAAACAUUAUGAAACUUUUCUAAUGUUUUUUGAGUUAUUAAGAGUUGCUCUUAAUGAUAAUGAUGAAUACCUGAAAAGCUCAACGGCUAAUUCGUGCCUUACUGUUUGAUUAACAACAAAUCUUACAGUUGCGUAAGCAGGGCAUAGGAUCACAAGAUGCAAAAAGGA
rnacentral:ncRNA from 1 species